rnacentral:rRNA from 1 species
UACGUAGGGUCCGAGCGUUGUCCGGAAUUAUUGGGCGUAAAGAGCUCGUAGGCGGUUUGUCGCGUCUGCCGUGAAAUUUCGGGGCUCAACCCCGAACUUGCGGUGGGUACGGGCAGACUAGAGUGUGGUAGGGGAGACUGGAAUUCCUGGUGUAGCGGUGAAAUGCGCAGAUAUCAGGAGGAACACCGAUGGCGAAGGCAGGUCUCUGGGCCACUACUGACGCUGAGAAGCGAAAGCAUGGGGAGCGAACAGG